UACGUAGGCAGCGAGCGUUGUUCGGAGUUACUGGGCGUAAAGGGUGCGUAGGCGGUUGUUUAAGUUUGGUGUGAAAUCUCCCGGCUCAACUGGGAGGGUGCGCCGAAUACUGAAUGACUAGAGUGCGGGGAGAGGAUAGUGGAAUUCCUGGUGUAGCGGUGAAAUGCGUAGAUAUCAGGAGGAACACCGGUGGUGUAGACGGCUAUCUGGACCGUAACUGACGCUGAGGCACGGAAAGCGUGGGUAGCAAACAGG
rnacentral:rRNA from 1 species